rnacentral:lncRNA from 1 species
CAGCACCAAAACUACUGGCCACUUACAUGUUCCUGUCCUAUUCUGAACUUAAAAAAAUUCCAGUGAUACUACUACAGCGCUGUUACUCAGCUCUGAGACUGUUAGAAAUGGCUCGCUCUUCUUGACGUCCCUUAAAUAUGAGGUGCUUCUUUCUGAUGGCUUAUUUGCAUCUAUCGGUGCCACUGGGACAGGUGUCACAAAAGUCCCUCGGUGCGGCUGUUGAUAAUGCCAUUGCUUCUAACAGUAGCAAAAGUUUCAGGUGAAUUACCAGAAGUUUACAUAAUCCUCAUUGUUUCUUCAGUCACUUAGAUUAUCUGGUUCGUGUUUAAUGUUUUUGUUUUCUCGUCAUUUGGAUAAAAAAUCAGAGUCUUUGAGAACCUUGCUUUUCACAAAGACUUACUUGUAAACAUUAUUUUGCCUAAAAUUAGCAUCCUGAUGCUUUCUAAAAUAAAAUUUUAUAGACUUAUUUCAUAGCAAAAUUUCCAAAUCUGUACAGAAAUUUAAAAAAUUAGACUUACAUUGGCAACUGUUUUGUAAAGAAUUUAUGAAUUGUACAUAAACCUCUUCUGACAUUUAAUAAAAGUUUAUUUUAGCCAA